UAGAAAACUGAUGUCCCAGCUCAAAGACAGGCAGAGAGAAAGAAUUCUUUCUUAGGCUUUUAUUCUAUUUAGGACUUCAAUAGAUUGCAUGAGGGCCACCCACAUUAGGAAGGACAGUUUUACUCAGUUUACUGAUUCAAAUGUAAAUAUCAAGGAACACACUCAUAGGCUAACAGUUUAAACAAAAAUCUAAGCACCUCAUGGCCCAGUUAAGCGGACACAGAAUUAACCAUCGCAGGAUGGUUUUAGGAAACCCCCAUAAAUCAUACCUCAGUCAGCCUUAGUUCUGUACAGCUGUCUCCAUCCCUGAGCUAGCUCUUUACAGCACAUCGUUUCAUCAAGAAAUUGGACACACUAUCCUAUUUCAAAAGGUUGUUGUGAAGAAUAAUAAGAGUGUUAAUUUAUUCAUUGUGUUCAAUAAACAGUUGCCUAUGUGCCAGACACUGCUAGACAGGGGAUUUGUGAUAGGCAGAGGGUGGCACCAUAUGUGGCACAACGGGUAGGCAAGGGCUGGAUCAUGCAGGGGUUGAAAGACAGUGGUAAGAGCUACAAAUUUUGUUCUAAAUAGUGAGAGGCUCCUGAAGGUGGAUUUAGCCUGUGCCUGGAACAGUGAGCACUCAAUACAAGUUUGUUAUUGAGCAUUAGCACCAGGAUGCCUUGUCAGAAAUUUAAUUUCGACAGACGUAGUCAAACCCAGUCAUCUUUUCUCUGUAAUCCUUCCCUCUAUUUGAGUUGACUGCUUCCUUGUAAGCACCAUUCUUCCUGUCUCCAAGAGAAUUCAAUCUUUAAUUCUUCAUUCUUUGUUCCCUUUCUGCCUGUUUAUUUUGUCUCGUUUUUGAUCAUGAGCUAAUUAUCUUGUUGUGCCUAUUUCUUCUCUAAAAUGGGGAUAAUACCUAAGAUUGAGGAUUAAAUGAGCUAAAUGCAUGUAAAUGCUUAGCAUUUAGAGAAAACUCACUAAAGAUGGGCUCGUUACUUUGGGGUAAGAGUUGGAGAUAGACAAGCAAGAGGAAAUUUUUCUCCUUCAAAAAAAUGAAUUCAGCCCUCUCUGUCUUCUCUGCACUGGGAGCAGCUCUCCUGCCACAGCCCCUCACCCCCUGAAAAUGUACACUUGCUCCAAGUUUGUCUCCAUCUCCUUGGUCAGGAGCACCUCUCAGCUGCUGAGCUGACCACUGUCUGCAUUGGGGUUGAAACGACCAGAGACACUGACAGAUGAGAGCCUCAGCAGCUUGGCAGUCCCGUGUCCCCUGACCUCACUUAUCCCUAGCCGCAACUUCCAAACCAGCACCAUUUCAAGGGACAUCGACACAGCAGCGAAGUUCACUGGGGCUGGGGCUGCCACAGUUGGGGUGGCUGGUUCUGGGGCUGGGAUUGGGACUGUGUUUGGGAGCCUCAUCAUUGGUUAUGCCAGGAACCCUUCUCUGAAGCAACAGCUCUUCUCCUACGCCAUUCUGGGCUUUGCCCUCUCGGAGGCCAUGGGACUCUUUUUGCCUGAUGGUGGUCUUUCUCAUCCUCUUCGCCAUGUGAAGGAGCUGUCUCCACCUCCCAUAGUUCUUUCUCCUGUGUCCCAUCUGCCCUGUAUGUUCCUUCUCCUAUACCUCCCCAGGCAGCCUGGGGAAAGUGGUUGGCUCAGAGUUUGACAGAGAGAAGACAAAUAAAUACUGUAUUAAUAAGAAAAAAAAAAAAA